CAUGUGAUGGUUAUAAUCCGUGUUAAUUUGAAAGCAUGUGAAAUUGAUCCAUGUAAUCUAUUAGGCAGGUGUUUACCACACUGGCUUUUAACAGGUUAAAGCGAAUAUUAAUCGCCGUGUUUUCAUAUUGAAUUUAUUGAAAUUUUAACCGUCGUAUUGUUUGCUUGAUCAGAAAUCAUUAGAAAUAAUUCAUAAAAAUAAUUUACAGUUUAAUAUUGAAAAGAGCCGAAAUGUGUGCUGGAAAUGGAUUUGCGACAGUUUAAUAUUGAAAAGAGCCGAAAUGUGUGCUGGCAAUGGAUUUGCGACAAUAACGCAUAGAAACGUCAUCUUUAUUCUGGUGCUUUGCUGACUGAAUUAUGGAGAAUGUCUGUUUUGCAUUGUUGACGGGAAACCGGUGUGGUAUGAACGAGACAACCAACUGUGUUGUAAUGGUCUUUACCCGAGAGUAGAGAAUGGACUCGAAAAGAGAUGCUGUAACGGCACAGUGCAUGCGGACUUAACGCACAAGUGCGACACAGAAAUUAUUGCAAAUAUCGAGAAAGAGAUUAAAAAUGACAAACUUCUAACGCCCGAUGUACGUCCGCAAACACGAAUUGGACCUCCCAAAUGCCCUUUGUUCAUUACUGGAAACCACAGCGGACCUGCGGAGUGCAAUAAGUGGAACAUAUUACACGUCCGUCUCGGGGAGAUUGCACAGAGAAAACGAAACCGAUUGUUGCUGCAAGUAACAGUGACCCGCCCAAAAAGGUAUGCAGGUCGGCGUAUGACACUCAAGACUCAGAGCGUUUGCCAGGAAUAUUUUCAAAAGGGCGAAGCAUAUGUUAUAUUCACAAAUCGAUGGUUGGGUUGCUUGCCCAAAAAAUCGAAUUACUGGCAGUGAUGAAAUAGUUCGAAAAGACCAGCUCUCAACAUAUAACUGCACAGUCAACCGUUGGGCGAAGACAUAAUGAUUACUGUUUUUUCUUACAAAAUACUUUAUUAAACACUGUUCUUAUAAUUUGAACAUAUAACGCGAAGAACAUUUUCCAUCUGAAUGAACACUUUCUUGUUUAUGUAAAAUAGCGCAAAUAUAGAGAUAACACGUAAACAAUAAUUUACAUUUGAAUUUAAUUCAUACUUUUCUAAAAAGGUCAGUUAAAAAGGGCAUUUAAUAGUGUAUAGGGCAUACAUGGCUUUACCAGAUAUCAUUAGAUAUUAUCAAUAUUCCAAGUGUUUAAUUUUGCUUUGCUCAUAAUUAGUUAAGUCAUCCGAGUAAACAGUGGUGUAAUAUUCAUUAAAUUCAUGUUUUCGGCGAAUAAUCACCGGCUAGACAUAUCCCGUCCAUAGCAUAUGGCUGAUCUCGUUAUUUUAAGGAAGAACGUGAUUUUACUUGACGAACAGAUAAUCUCUAUGUCAAUCAAUGUCACUUUGAAAAGAUGUAUGAAACUCGUUGUGAAUGUUUGAUUUCACUCUUGCCGAUCAAUAUGAACAUCUAUACUCAAAAUAAGUGUACUUAAGAGGGCCAGUGAGUAUAUGUUUGGUCAGAAAAAACAGGUAUUUUUUCUUUCGCACGUACUGCAAUCAACAGUAGUGCGUCUUUUUUAGCAAUAUUAACUGCCCGGAUCUGUUAUGCAUGUCAAGCCAAUUGUGUUCAAUGUUUAUAAAAACAUUUUUAAAAAUGUGUUCAAAAAGGUCGUUCUUGGCGUCGUCGUAUCCUGUUAAAGAUUUAAAAUAUAUAGACAAUAUGUACUCAUUGUAUCUUUUCUGGUAUUUCGCUUUGAUUGUUAUAAGACAAUUAACAUCUUACAAGACCGAUACGUAAAUUUGUAGGUCGUUUAUUGUCCAAAAUAGGCUUAAAUGAAUGCAAGGAUUUCACACUUCCCUUGUCUGAUAAUCUUAACAGAUCCUAGUAUUUGUUUAAAUUUUUCAAUAUUAGGAAGUGAUGUGUUAAAACAUACAGUACACAGUUUUAUUGAAUCAGUAUUUCUCUUAGUAACAAAUAAUUACGUAACAGUUUUGUAAGAUGUUCAGUGUCUUUUAAUAGACCUAAAAUACAUGUAUCUGGUAAAUGAAACCGACCAAGAUGUACACAUUGCAAUAAUAGUAACACAUUGUCACAAUUCAAUAUUAGUGUUACAUGUUUAUCUUAUGAUUUACACUAUGAUAUUGAUUGUACUUCACGUGAUGUUAUAUAUCUUAUUACAUGUAAAAAUUGUAAUAGACAAUACGUCGGACAUACUUAUCAGAAUGUAUCCCGCAGAAUGAAUAGCCAUAGAUUUAAUAUCAAGAACUGUUCAAUAAAUCAUAUUUCACAUGUUGCUACACAUUUUGGAUCUACCCACAAUGAAUGCACUUUAUCUGAUUUCUCUGUGUACCUAUUGAUGUUGUUGAAUAUAGACCGUUUAUGCAAAUAAACAUUUAGGAUACAUAAACUCAAAGCUAUGAUUCCUAAAGGUCUUAAUAAUAAACUGCUUUACGAAAUAUAGAACAUAUGUAAAAUAUACAUAUACUGUUGAUGUUUGACUAUUACUAUAUUUUUAAAUAACGUAUAUCAAUACUAAUAGGCAGAUGUAUUUAACAAUGACCCAUUUUUGUAAAUUGUAAUGUUAUAAUUUGAUAGUAUGUGUUUGAUAUUUUUUCUAUUCUCAGUUUUGUAUACAGUGUGUUAAACAACGUAACGUUGCUGUAUUUUACUGACGUCACUACCUAUGUUUUUGUUUACAUUGAUACUACUGAUGAAGGCUAUGGCCUGAACGUGUUUCGUUUAUAAAAAAAUAAACAAAAGUAACAUGUU